CCUACGGGAGGCAGCAGUGAGGCAUAUUGGUCAAUGGGCGCAAGCCUGAACCAGCCAAGUCGCGUGAGGGAUGACGGUCCUAUGGAUUGUAAACCUCUUUUGUCGGGGAGCAAGGCCCGCCACGUGUGGCGGGCCGUAUAGUACCCGCAGACAAAGCCUCGGCUAACUCCGUGCCAGCAGCCGCGUUAAUACGGAGGAUGCGAGCGUUAUCCGGAUUUAUUGGGUUUAAAGGGUGCGCAGGCGGAAGAUCAAGUCAGCGGUAAAAUUGAGAGGCUCAACCUCUUCGAGCCGUUGAAACUGGUGUUCUGGAGGGAGCGAGAAGUAGGCGGAAUGCGUGGUGUAGCGGUGAAAUGCAUAGAUAUCACGCAGAACUCCGAUUGCGAAGGCAGCAUACCGGCGCUCAACUGACGCUCAUGCACGAAAGUGUGGGUAUCGAACAGGAUUAGAUACCCGGGUAGUC
rnacentral:rRNA from 1 species